UCAGUAGCAGUGGUAGGAGGAGGGCUCUGAUGCUGAUGAGGUCUGUCAGUAGCAGUGGUAGGAGGAGGCCUCUGAUGAGGUCUGUCAGUAGCAGUGGUAGGAGGAGGGCUCUGAUGAGGUCUGUCAGUAGCAGUGGUAGGAGGAGGGCUCUGAUGAGGUCUGUCAGUAGCAGUGGUAGGAGGAGGGUUCUGAUGAGGUCUGUCAGUUCCAGUGGUAGGAGGAGGGCUCUGAUGAGGUCUGUCAGUAGCAGUGGUAGGAGGAGGUCUCUGAUGAGGUCUGUCAGUAGCAGUGGUAGGAGGAGGGCUCUGAUGAGGUCUGUCAGUAGCAGUGGUAGGAGGAGGGCUCUGAUGAGGUCUGUCAGUAGCAGUGGUAGGAGGAGGGCUCUGAUGAGGUCUGUCAGUAGCAGUGGUAGGAGGAGGGCUCUGAUGAGGUCUGUCAGUAGCAGUGGUAGGAGGAGGGCUCUGAUGAGGUCUGUCAGUAGCAGUGGUAGGAGGAGGGCUCUGAUGAGGUCUGUCAGUACCAGUGGUAGGAGGAGGGCUCUGACGUUGAUGAGGUCUGUCAGUACCAGUGGUAGGAGGAGGG